rnacentral:rRNA from 1 species
UGGGGAAUAUUGCGCAAUGGGGGAAACCCUGACGCAGCGACGCCGCGUGUGGGAUGAAGGUCUUCGGAUUGUAAACCACUGUCGCGAGGGACGAAGCUCUGACGGUACCUCGAAAGGAAGCACCGGCUAACUCUGUGCCAGCAGCCGCGGUAAUACGUAGGGACCAAGCGUUGUUCGGAUUUACUGGGCGUAAAUGGCGCGUAGGCGGCAUGACAAGUCACUUGUGAAAUCUCUGGGCUUAACCCAGAACGGCCAAGUGAUACUGUCGCGCUAGAGUGCAGAAGGGGCAAUCGGAAUUCUUGGUGUAGCGGUGAAAUGCGUAGAUAUCAAGAGGAACACCUGAGGUGAAGACGGGUUGCUGGGCUGACACUGACGCUGAGGCGCGAAAGCCAGGGGAGCAAACGGGAUUAGAUACCCCCGUAGUCCCUGAGCGGGCUGGCAAGGCGCAU